UUUAGUCAUAAAUCAAAAGUGCGCAAACAAAUAUGAAUGAGUGCAUAACUGUAUAUGCGUAUGUGUUUGUGCAUGUGGGCGUCGCAAGUUUUUUCUGCUUACAGCAGACAGUGUAAAGCCGCACACGCGCUGAACAGCAAGCAUACAGGGCAAGGCAAGGAAAAACAUUGAAAAGCAUACGCAGAUAUCCUAAUUCUACAGAAAUUACACACACACGCGCGCAGGCAGGCAGGAGGUAUCAUAAAUGUCAUUGUAUGCAGACCGCUGUGUAUGAGGUUAGGCAUUCUGUUUGCAAAUGGAUCCGUAAAACAUCUGUAUUGUCGUUGCGGGAUGAAUAAUUAAAUUGUCUUGCAUGUGCGGAAUGCUCGCAUUGAAUGAGCACAAAAACAAGAUAUUAUAUGGAGAUUGAAGUAUGCGGUCUGUGGCAACCCAUUGCCUGCAGUGCGUUAAAAAAUAGCGCCGACGUAGUUUUUAAGUGUGUGCACUUGCACUCACACUCAUGCGCCGCUACACUCAGACUUGAGUGAAUUGCGCUAAGUGCGGACAAUUCAGAAUCGCGACAGCAGAAAUCAAAAAAUGCGAAAAUAUGAAACAUUCAAAAAAAAUAAAUAAAAACACAAAAGUGUAAACAGCACAAAGGCAUGUGCAUAAAACAUACAAGCUCUGACAGUUAAAGAAUAUGCAACAAAAAACCGCAUUGAAUACUACAAAGCUAAGCAGCCACACAUAUCAACAACAAAAAAAUCAGAAAUCAGCGUUGAAACGACAUAACUCAAAAAUUUCAGUUUGGGUUAUAUUUGUUUGUGCAUUGCUUGCUUAUUUUAAUAAAUUUGAGUUCUCUACCCUCUCGGACAGGCGUUCCAUACGCUCAUUUUACGUCGACGCUUUGAGGUGAUUUGUGGGCCGGUGGAAUCAUCCAACAUAUCCAUAUUUCUUCAAAGAUAAUGCCGCUGUGAACGUAACCGUCAAUAGCUACCUUUAUCGCGCCAUGAUAACCGCCUAUUUGAUGCCUGUAAUUGAAUCUUGUUAUCUCGAUGACAUUUGGUUUCAACAAGAUGGUGGCACUUCACACACAUCGCACCAAUUAAAGAAUUUAUUGAGAGAACACUUCGGUGAUCAAGCCUUGGAGCAAAACAUCACACGUGUCAUUCGCCUAUUACCAGUCGAAAUGCUCGAAUGAGUCAUCAAAAAUUGGAUUUAAAGAAUGAUAAUCUUUAAAACAUUAAC